UCUGUCAGCUACAAACCACACGCCUCUCAGUGAGUGCGCUCGUGUGUGGGGAUUGUUUCUAAAUAAAACCGGCAGCAAGGGUUAUUUCCUCCUAAUGGCAUCAUUCUUAGAGUGCAGCUGGUUGUAAAUAAGCCUCUAGCUGAUGGUAUUUUUUUUUUAACUGCUGGCUUUUGCAUUGAGGUGGUAGGAUGUUGCGAGGUUAUCUAAUGGACUGUGCAGACAGCUUUAUUUCAGUCUGGACUGAAAUUUAUUUAACUUCUUGAAAACCUCAGGGGUUUUCACCUCCCUGAGAGCAGCAAACAAAACAUCCGGGUCUUUGCAAACCAGCCUGCCCUUUGAAACACGGAGCAUUGCCAGGUUCCUCGCUGUAUCUUUUGGCAGUCAGUUCCAUGCUCAAUAUUCCUGGGACAGCCAACGAGGUGAACUUCAGGGCCUGCAGGAGACCUUAAGGAGCAAUAGCUGGAGAUAAGCCGGUAUGAGUGGUGGCAGCCUUUCAGCUCCCGGCGAAGGACGAGGAUCUCCUGAUUGAUGGGGAUGGAGUUGAGGCUGUGGUCCAGCUGCCCGGCUGAGUUCACACACCUGGAGUAGCGGCACUCAGCAUCAGCAAUCACCUGGGGGAAGCGGUUGUGGUCCUCAUCGAUCCUGUGGAAGACAGGAUAUGGGCUUACCUUUUCUGAGAUCUGCUGGUGAUGUCAUUGCUUCAGCUAAGUCACUCAAGUAGUAACAAAAUUCCAUGUUGAUGUUAGAAAACCACUGAACUGUUGUCACGCACGCUGCAGCGAGUGGAUGCAAAGUAUGCAAUUUUGAACUCGGACUACAGUUGACAUCUACUCAAAUGCACAUCAACGUGCUUCACGGACUCAACUCGAGAUGCUCUAAGUAUCAAAAGCACCGCUGUCACCAGCACCGAUGGCUUGGAUCCAUGUGGUGCUUCACCAGUCUGGUGUCUUUUUAUUCUGAGGUCGGCAGAUGUAGGACAGCUGGUGCCCGUCCAGUUGCUCUCCACACUUAUCAUGCCCAAUCACCUGCUUUGAUGUCUGAAAACCCAGAUUUCUUCUCAAAUUUUAUUUUAUUUUUCUCAGUUUUCGCAGCCUGGAUCAGGUUAUAUUUGUUGAUGUAUGUACCUCACCUCUGAUAUGACAAAUUUGACCAAAAUGUAUUGUGACACUGAGUUUCCACAUUUGAUCAUUCUCCAUCUGAGAAGCAAAGCCCAAAACACUGUUUUCAGUUGCUUUUGAGAUUGCUGUAUUUUCAUUUCCCUUCAUGAUCUUGCGCUAUGCAACAGGGCUGUGAUCCUACGACCACAGUCUGGGAAAUGUGAAGGAUGUAAUUAAACCCUCAGAUCCCAGGUUAGGGUUCAAGAGAAACCUUGUGAAGGCUGUGAGAUGAAAACUGACCCUCUUGUAGGCAGGAAAAAGGGAAGAAACUGCAACCAUCUGCUCCACGGUGCAUUGUGGUAGAUAGGUGAUACCAUGCUACAAUAUUAGGAGCUAAAAUACCUCUCAUUGUGUAGCCCCACAACUGCCUGCAUCCCAUCCCUGUGUUCUGGGUGAUAUUGAUCACUGAUCAUGCUGUUUCUCCAUCCUACAAGACCAAUGUGUAGCAGCUGUACCCUACCCUGUUAGUAUUUAAACAUGCAAAGUUUAAAUCCCUGUGUUCAGGGGGACAGACUCCACUGACAUGGUGACAAGCAGGAUCCCUUUCUCCCAUCCAGGGGUUCGCGUUUUCCUAGAUUUUCACUAAGAUGCUGUCAGGGGAUUGCAGUCUUGGAGAUGUUGGGCUGCUUCAAGGUUGUCCCUCCUCUUGGCUUUGGGAAUUUACAAAGGGAAACCCUAAUACUUUAGUACCAGCUUCAGAGAGAGUCCUUUCCUGAGCUUCAUCACAGCUGCUGUGAUAGUAACUGCCUCUGUUUUUGUUUCUUUUUUAGGCAGAUGUCUUGAUGAGCUCUGAAUGCUCAUUAAAAGCAACGAGCUUGACCAAGUAAAAGCAAUGAGCUUGACCAAGAGACCCUUCCUGCAGAGAGGGAUGUCUGCGUUAACUCUCCUCAGCUUUUGGGGGAUUUAAAUUAACAGCUCUCUAGCAAAUAUUUUGGUCACUGGGAUGUGUGGGAUGCUCUGGGGCUGGGUGUUGCUGUGUGACCAUUCAAUAUCCUUGGGAAGAACAGUCCACCCAGAGUGCUGCAAAACCUGGUACAGAGAGAGAGAGAGGCUCAAAUCUGUCAGGAUGCAGUUUCCCAGGUAAUGAUGCUGAUCCAGAUGGACUGUAAGAUAGCAGAAAUCAGCUACAACCGUGUUCUCUGAUGAUGCUUUCAAUAAGCUGUCUGGAGAGUCAGUAAUGAGUGAACGCAAAAGUGUUGAUGCUGUUUGUAGGCUCAGUUUCAGAGAGAUUCUUGAAGAAAGGGCUUACAUCUCAGAAAGAAGAGGGAGAAUAUAUAACACUUUGCUUUAGGAAAUAUUUCUCAUUGAUUUGCUCUGAGAGUGGGUGACAAGUUGCUAGGAUGUGCACCUUACAGUAACACUUGGUGUAACAAACUCAAUGAUCUGACCCACUCCUCUUCUCAGCUCUAGUUUUCAUCCUGCUUGCAGAUGAAAACGUUGCAAAUUAUCUGUGCUUCAUAUUUACUCCUGAGUCUGAGUUUUCCCAGCUUGUGCAAUCCAAAGGAGGAUGCAAAUGAGAGUAAAAUUUACCUUGCAGUUUCUGGAAUAGCCAUGACCUAAAUCAGCUUGUUUAAAAGAUGCUGACGUUUGAAGAGUGACUUGUACAAUUCAGUUUCCCUCUUAGAGUUAGAGCAGUACAGGUUAACGGAAAAGGUUCCCUCAGAAGGGGUUUUCUCUAAUGCUCUUUACUGAAAUAUCCAUUCAAACUGGGUCAGUUAAAUUUGCAAUUUUAGAAGCAAGAAAGAUUUCAAAAGCCUGCAAGGUAGCGGAAGGUCAGGUUCAACCAGCCUGACCCUAAAUCCAGGCUUAUCUACUUUAAAUGUGUCAGUGGUUUGCAUUACCUCAGCACUUGAGAGGUGAAUAGUUAAGCAUUCAAACACAGCAGACGUAAUGCUCACUGAAAUGGUGAAAAACAAAAAUACAAAUAAAAACUUUCCAUGGUUUGUUCUGAGCCACGAAUGCACAAAUUUGCAAUUGUCAGAGGCAAGAUGAGAGGCUUUUAGGAAAAAAUACACAUCUUGAAAUGUUCUCAGCACGUCUGAAUUAUACAAAUGAAACUCUCACAUUUCUGAUUCUCAGCUUUUUUUUUUCAGGUUAAAACAAUUAUUUGCCAA